UACAGAGGUCUCAAGCGUUGUUCGGAUUCAUUGGGCGUAAAGGGUGCGUAGGCGGCGCGGUAAGUCGGGUGUGAAAUCUCGGAGCUUAACUCCGAAACUGCAUUCGAUACUGCCGUGCUUGAGGACUGGAGAGGAGACUGGAAUUUACGGUGUAGCGGUGGAAUGCGUAGAGAUCCGGGAAGAACACCGGUGGCGAAGGCGGUCUGCUGGGCAGUAGCUGACACUGAGGCGCGACAGCGUGGGGGAGCAAACAGG
rnacentral:rRNA from 1 species